rnacentral:rRNA from 1 species
GACGAACGCUGGCGGCGUGCCUAAUACAUGCAAGUAGAACGCACAGUGUAUACCGUAGCUUGCUACACCAUACACUGUGAGUUGCGAACGGGUGAGUAACGCGUAGGUAACCUGCCUGGUAGCGGGGGAUAACUAUUGGAAACGAUAGCUAAUACCGCAUAAUAUUUAUUAUUGCAUGAUAAUUGAUUGAAAGAUGCUAUUGCAUCACUACCAGAUGGACCUGCGUUGUAUUAGCUAGUAGGUGAGGUAACGGCUCACCUAGGCGACGAUACAUAGCCGACCUGAGAGGGUGAUCGGCCACACUGGGACUGAGACACGGCCCAGACUCCUACGGGAGGCAGCAGUAGGGAAUCUUCGGCAAUGGACGAAAGUCUGACCGAGCAACGCCGCGUGAGUGAAGAAGGUUUUCGGAUCGUAAAGCUCUGUUGUAAGAGAAGAACGGGUGUGAGAGUGGAAAGUUCACACUGUGACGAUAUCUUACCAGAAAGGGACGGCUAACUACGUG